UGUACUAAAUUAAGACUCAUUUUCAUUUUUAUUUAAAGAAAGACCUUCAAGAGUUACAAAUAGAAACUAACAAAACACAAAUGGUGUUUCAAAUUUAGUCUCUAAAGAACGUCGAAUUAUUUUGUUUUUAAAUUAGGUGUACCAAAAAGAUAUGACCUAGCACUAACCUAAAACUUCCGGGUAAAUCAGUAUAUGUAUAUCCCGAGCUGCGGCAAACGCAUACAAAAUAAAUUAUCACCACAGGAUAAGGACUUCACUUACCUCUCGGGAUGAGUAAAAUGUCUGUCACACCACUUGUAGUAUUGAUACUUGUGUUGGCCCUGGCAACUGGGAAAGUGGCACCAUGUUAUCCUCCUCAAGGAAGGACAGACGGUUGCAGCCCUAAAUGGUUAUCUUACCCCUAUAAAAAGUUUUUCAGGCCAGAGUGUAACAAACAUGAUACCUGUUAUGCCUGUGGCAGCCACUCUGGAAUGUCCAGAAAAGUAUGUGAUGACAAAUUUCUCGACAACCUCGAAUGGCGCUGCAGAACAGAUAAAGAAGAGAGGGACGACCCAGACAAAUGUCUCACGUGGGCGAGAAUAAUGUAUGGAAGUGUUCGUCUGUUUGGUGAAAGAAGCUAUAAAGACCCAUCGCGAGACUGGUGCAAUGAAUACUGGGUUGAUAGUUGCCUAUAAAAGUGCAUUCAGGGCUUCCUGAAAGAUUUGAUGUAACCCUACUUGCUUUCAGUUAAAUAUAAAUUGCAUUCAUGUAGACGAACAUUUAUAUAACAACUGUAGCCUUACGAAAACAUCAACAGUUUAUGCUUCUUCAAAUCGGAAAUGUACAUCAAAAUGCAUUGAAGAAAUGAUAUACUGUUGAAUUUUCAACUCGAGCUAGUUACAAGCUUUCACUUUCUAUUUAUAUCUAUCAGCUGUAUUGUGUAUUGUAACUAAAUGACACUUUUAUAAUGUAUACAAUUUGUUUUAUGUUAUUCGUAUAUAAGUCAGUCACUUAAUUAUCAUUUUUACUUCUAGCCACAUCAAACUGAACCCGUACAACCAAUAUGACUUUCGGCUUACCAAUUGCCAAGUACACAGCUGUACAGUCCAUAAAAUAAACAAACGUGUUUGUAAACAUGGGCGGAUCCAAACGGAAGGGGAAGAAGCAUUUUAUAGAAAUAUUUUGAUGUCAAAAUACAAUACAUAUCUUAGUCCUAACCAACCUAUAAACCGCCGGGUCAAUCUAUUAUAUAAGUACAACAACACGGCUGACCCAUUUAAACGAGCUGUACAAUAAUCAGAUGUUUACAAACACGUGGUCCCCUUAUCCGUUACUGUUAGAUCUAUAUAUAUCCGUAUAUCCGUGAUAAAGUACAUGCAUGUAAAACAAAACAUGAUUUUUACCAAAGUCUUAUAGGUAAAUCCACAAUUGUAGUAUAUAUAAUCUCAUGUGUCACAUUCUACAUUCCUGAAAAAAGCACGCCAUAAUUAAAUACAUGUAAGUUACACACCUUGUCCUGAAUUAACCACGUGUCCUAUGUUUACUCUCACGUCAGUUAAUCACGUUUUCCUCCCACGCACAGUCUAUAGUCUAUUUCAAUUACUAGUACUUUUGCCCCUGAUUGACUUGUCCCGGUUUAAAGUUUAGUAACUAAGGUUAAUAAGGUCAUCUGGGUAUUCACGUCAUUAAUGAAUUAGUCAAUUAUGACUCGUCCCGGGUUAAAGUUUAAUAACGAAGGUAAGUAAGGUUAUCUGGAAUUUCACCCCUCCACCUCCCCCUAGCCUUUCGCCCCCUGCCUUUUGAAAUAUGACCAUCAUAAUUUUUUGUAAUAACUGUUUAUAUAAUGAAAUAGAAAAAAAAUGUUCGCUUGCUUACUUUCUUAGAAAUAUCAUGUCAUGUGAAAAUUUGUAAUAAUUUACUCACAUGUUGUAUCAUUAUGUUUUACUAUAUUAUAUGUAACUUGAGUUAAUCGUGUUAAUAAAGUUAUGCUCUGU